UGGGGAAUAUUGGACAAUGGGCGCAAGCCUGAUCCAGCCAUGCCGCGUGAGUGAUGAAGGCCCUAGGGUUGUAAAGCUCUUUCACCGGUGAAGAUAAUGACGGUAACCGGAGAAGAAGCCCCGGCUAACUUCGUGCCAGCAGCCGCGGUAAUACGAAGGGGGCUAGCGUUGUUCGGAUUUACUGGGCGUAAAGCGCACGUAGGCGGACUAUUAAGUCAGGGGUGAAAUCCCGGGGCUCAACCCCGGAACUGCCUUUGAUACUGGUAGUCUUGAGUUCGAGAGAGGUGAGUGGAAUUCCGAGUGUAGAGGUGAAAUUCGUAGAUAUUCGGAGGAACACCAGUGGCGAAGGCGGCUCACUGGCUAGAUACUGACGCUGAGGUGCGAAAGCGUGGGGAGCAAACAGG
rnacentral:rRNA from 1 species